GUGGCUGAUAUUAAAACUUAAGAGGUGGGGAAAAAUAAGACCUUUAUAAUCCCCAAGUUGCUGGCCAUUUCCUCACUUUUAAGAAUAGAUAAAAAAUCAGACUUCUAUUUAAGCUUCUCCUCUCUCUUUCAAAGCAUAGCAGCAGCCACAAGUUUCCUAGGGUUCUUGGAUAAACCCAAGCCCUUGCAAGGGAAGCUCAAGUUAUUGAAGAGUUAAAGUUAAAAGAAAACGAGUUAUAAGAAUUAAGAUAAGUAUUUGAAAAGAAAGGAAGGUACUUCAAGGUAACUACAAGGUGGUACAACAAGG